UUCAGAGCAUUUUGUUUUUUUUUAACUUCUAUGCAUAAUAAUUAUUGUCUAAUAUUUUUAAGGAUGCUAAUUGAUGACUAUACAGGAAGGAUUAAGGAAAAAGUGGAUGACAACAUGCUGAGGAUGAGAGCAGUAGGUGAAGUACAGCAGAAAACAGAAACAGAUGCUGGCAUAAUCAAGAAGAGAAAAAAGUGUUCCGGAGUCAGGUGAGUGGUAGAGAUGAAAAGAUGGCAGGCAUGUUGUUGUCAAUUAAAGUGAGUUGCUGGAGAUUAAGCAGUGACUGGUAGAUUAAGGGAGACUCUACUAAGAAGUCCUGAAUCUAGCAAAGCAUCCGCAUCAUCUGUGGGAGAUAUUAGACUGCGGAUUCUCGGGCCCUGCCCCAAGAUAUUUGGAGUCCAAAGGCUAAAGAAUGGGCCCUGGAAUCUGUAUUUUUAGGAGAGUCUCAGGUGACUCUGAUAUUAUAAAAUAUAAUUCAGGGGAUCCUUGAACGAUCUUUCAUUAAGUGUUUGAGCUGGAAGGGAGAGGAGAAAGGCCCCAUGGGGAAGUGACGGGGUGGUGAGAGGACACUGUCAGCCAGAGCAGAGGGCAACCGAAGUUGCACCAAAAGUGGCCACAGUCUUUGCACACCAGAGUUGCACAUCCAGACAGUUUGAUAAGUGGCACUCUACAAAGCUGAAAUAUUUUGUGAUUCCUUUUUCACUGGCAUGAUCAAGCAAUCUCUUUUGAAUGAUCAAAUAGGCUUUCUGCCAGCCCAGUUCACGCUUGUUCAGUUUUAAUCCACUUCACAGAUGAAUGAAUUGGAUUUCUUGUUCCUUUUAAAUGAAUGUGGAUUCUGUACUGUAGGUCCUUAAGAGGAUUUCUCCUUUCUUUAUUCUCUUAGAUUAGAAGGGUUUUUAACAACAAAAUUUUAAAGUAUAAUGAAAAGCUAGCACGGGACAGUGGCAGAGGCCAUAAGCCCUGGAACCUGUUUGGCUGGGUUUGGACCCAGUUCUAAAACUUACCAGCUGUGUGGCCCUGAGUCAAGAAUUUGAUUCUCCUGUGUCAAUGUGUUCAUGUGUGAAAUGAAGAUAUAGCAACAACCUCAUAGCAAUUGUCAGACUUAAAUAAGUAAUGCAUGUAGAACUCUUCAAACUCUUCCAGGAUAUAUAAAUUGUUGGUGAGAAUUUGCGGAUUCUAAUUGUAUUUCUCUUUCUCUGUGUAUUCCUCAUUUACAGAUUCAACCAACUGUAGAUUGAAAAUACUUGAAAAAAUAUUUCACGUUCGUUAAAGAUGUGUACAGAAUUUUUUUCAUUAUUCCCCAAAGUAUUCAUUAUUUAUAUAGCAUUUGCAUUGUGUUAGGUACUAUAGGUAAUCUAGAGAUAAUUUAAAUUAGCAUACAGGAGGAUGUCUGUAGGUUAUAUGCAAACACACUGUUUUCGUAAAAGGGACUUGUGCAUCCAUGGAUUUUGAUAUCUGCUAGGAGUUCUGGGACCAGUCCUCCUUGGAUAUUGAAGGGAUGGCAGGAUAUUGUCUUGGCGCUGUUGUGGCUUUCACCUUUGAUAACAGCAGUAGGACCUUUCAAAGGACUUCCACACAUCUGUUUGGUGCUCCAAUAAGGAAGGCUGAAUCCAGUUGCCACAGCCACCCGAACAACCACAAAACAUUCCACAAGUUAUUUAUUUCUUAAAGAAAGAGAAGAGAUUAGAGGACA
rnacentral:lncRNA from 1 species